UAAAUCUUUGAGGGGACGAUUGCCUAUGGGAUAUUUGGGUGGGGAGGAGGUUAUAAGCAAAAUUGUUCUCUAAUUCCUUCAAAAAGGUAAGUUGUAUCCUAUAGUCCAGGGGUGGUCGGCGUUAAAUAAGUGGCGAGUAAUAAUAUAGUAAACAAUUUAAUAAGAAAUAAUAUGAAAAGCAGGAAAAGAAAUAAAGGUGUAAGUUGAUAAAAAAGUUAUAGAUACCUUGUGAGAAUAUAUUAAUCAAUGAAUGAUUUGGCAUAAACCAAGAAUAUAUAACUAUCUAAUAAUGUCAAUUAAAAAUUGUAAUGACACCAUCUUAAUUGAUAAUUUUUAGGAAGAAGUAGCAGAAUAUCUAAAGUCAACAAAAAUAUGUCUUACAAAAAUCACCUAUGAGAUUGAAUUAGCUCCAGUAGACGCAAGUUCUCCAAAUACGGUGAAUACAUAUGCAAAAGUGUGUCAAGGAAAAUUGAAUAUUUCAAAUUCGUGUGUACAAAAUACAAUAUAUUUUUUUGACAAGGGAACGUUUGCACUUAAUCAAGACAGUGGAGUAGUUGUCCGGUAUCUCGAUCUUGAUGACAUUAACAACGACUGUAGUUGUAGUUCAGCGUUUAUGGGAUUUCAAAACAUAGUUGCAGGCCUCCGCAAGGGUUCACAAACACCGUGUACGAAAUUUGAUAUUCAAUCAGACCAAUAUUUAUAUAAAUAACCAGCUUUUUCAUUAACUGUUAAAUAAAUAUACAAUUUAUACCCAAUUUCAAAUCAAUUCAGGCAUACAAAAAUUCACAACCUUUUUUUUUGUCAAAGACACAGAGUGGUAUGAUGUAUUUUGUUGGGCAGCAAAAAUUUCAAUUUUAAUCUUGUUCUAAUAAACAGCUGUAAUAAGUAUUUAUAUUUAGCUAUUAUAAAUUACAUU